rnacentral:rRNA from 1 species
AUUGAACGCUGGCGGCAUGCCUUACACAUGCAAGUCGAACGGCAGCACGGGUGCUUGCACCUGGUGGCGAGUGGCGAACGGGUGAGUAAUACAUCGGAACAUGUCCUGUAGUGGGGGAUAGCCCGGCGAAAGCCGGAUUAAUACCGCAUACGAUCCACGGAUGAAAGCGGGGGACCUUCGGGCCUCGCGCUAUAGGGUUGGCCGAUGGCUGAUUAGCGAGUUGGUGGGGUAAAGGCCUACCAAGGCGACGAUCAGUAGCUGGUCUGAGAGGACGACCAGCCACACUGGGACUGAGCCACGGCCCAGACUCCUACGGGAGGCAGCAGUGGCGAAUUUUGGACAAUGGGCGGAAGCCUGAUCCAGCAAUGCCGCGUGUGUGAAGAAGGCCUUCGGGUUGUAAAGCACUUUUGUCCGGAAAGAAAUCCUUUACUCUAAUACAGUCGGGGGAUGACGGUACCGGAAGAAUAAGCACCGGCUAACUACGUG